rnacentral:rRNA from 1 species
UACGAGGGGGGCAAGCGUUGUUCGGAAUUACUGGGCGUAAAGGGCUCGUAGGCGGCCAACUAAGUCAGACGUGAAAUCCCUCGGCUUAACCGGGGAACUGCGUCUGAUACUGGAUGGCUUGAGUUUGGGAGAGGGAUGCGGAAUUCCAGGUGUAGCGGUGAAAUGCGUAGAUAUCGGGAGGAACAUCAGUGGCGAAGGCGGCAUCCUGGACCAACACUGACACUGAGGAGCGAAAGCCAGGGGAGCAAAAGCGGG